GAUGAACGCUGGCGGCGUGCUUAACACAUGCAAGUCGAACGAAGCACCUCUCCCGAAGAUUGACACAGCUUGCUGUAGAUUGAUUCAUUUGAGGUGACUGAGUGGCUGACGGGUGAGUAACGCGUGGGUAACCUGCCUCAUAGAGGGGGACAACAGUUGGAAACGACUGCUAAUACCGCAUAGUAAGAAGAAUUCGCAUGUUUUCUUCUUGAAAGUUUUAUCGCUAUGAGAUGGACCCGCGUCUGAUUAGCUAGUUGGUAAGGUAACGGCUUACCAAGGCGACGAUCAGUAGCCGGCUUGAGAGAGUGAACGGCCACAUUGAGACUGAGACACGGCCCAAACUCCUACGGGAAGCAGCAGUGGGGAAUAUUGCACAAUGGGGGAAACCCUGAUGCAGCGACGCCGCGUGAGUGAAGAAGUAUUGCGGUAUGUAAAGCUAUAUCAGCAGGGAAGAUAAUGACGGUACCUGACGAAGAAGCCCCGGCUAACUACGUG
rnacentral:rRNA from 1 species